rnacentral:rRNA from 1 species
GAUCCUGGCUCAGGACGAACGCUGGCGGCGCGCCUAACACAUGCAAGUCGAACGAGAGAGAAGGAGCUUGCUUCUUCGAUCGAGUGGCGAACGAGUGAGUAACGCGUGAGGAACCUGCCUCAAAGAGGGGGACAACAGUUGGAAACGACUGCUAAUACCGCAUAAGCCCACGGGUCGGCAUCGACCUAAGGGAAAAGGAGCAAUCCGCUUUGAGAUGGCCUCGCGUCCGAUUAGCUAGUUGGUG